rnacentral:rRNA from 1 species
AUGGAUGAGAAUAUUCCAGCAAGGGGUUACCCAAGGAGUUCCCGCAAAAUGGUUAGUUGCUUCCAUCACUACAAGAUUGAAAUGUUCAAUGAGGUGCUUGAUAGAAACAUGGUUGAGAUGAAUAACUGGUUUAGUGAAACUUCAACAAGGUUACUGAUAUGCAUUGCUAGUCCAUAUCCUAGAGUCUCAUUCAGUAGAUUUACUCAUGAGAACCAACUUGAGCUUGCAUCUAUGUACUCAGUCGACUUCGAUCCAGAAGAACAAUAUCAUUUGGAUGGCCAGCUCAAGAUAUACAUUGAUAUGAUGAAAAGGUCUCAUGUUUUUUGUGGAUGUGACAGUCUAGCUAAUCUUGCUCUCAAGUUGGUUGAAACUAAGGAACAUUACACUUCCUUUGGUUUAUCGGCUCAUCAAACUUGCUUUGACUUUGCCACUAAUGAUAGCAUCUGUUGA